rnacentral:rRNA from 1 species
AUGCCCUUCUCCCUCCUCCUCCUCCUCCUCAUCUUCUUCCUCCUGUACUCCACCCCCUCUCUCUUUGUUGCUGCUUUAACUUUUUUGGAUCACGAAACUUCCAUGGUUUUUCUCCCCCUUUUGCUUCCUCAUCUCAUGUGCUGCUGUGAGAGGCAGGCAGGAAGGAGGCAGCUAUGGUGGCGGUGGCGGCAGAUCUGCAAUACCUGGCUGCAAGUGGAAAGCUGGCACGUAGCCGAUGGCGACGGCGGCUCCCAGAUCUGUGGGAACGUUCGCUUGGUUCACUUUUGA